GUCCUGGUUCCUGGAGGACGGGUCGCUGACAGUCCCACUCCCACUCACCACGUACGAGGGCCCACGCUCUUCUCUGAUGAACUGGUGGAGGGUUGGAAGGAAGCAUCAGUGGGGACGGGCCCUGACACUGGGAACCAUGAUGCUAACGGUCUCACAGAGGCUACAGAGGCCGAUGGGAGACACAUGGGACCAGAGGACCUGGAUGAACUGAUGCUGGACUGAAGGGAACGUUCUAGAAACACCAGUCACUGACCUUGAAGCGAGGGUCUUCCACGUCUUUGACACCACUGAAGUAGAAGUGGUCGCCCAGGCUGAGGACGAAGUCGACGCCCUCGGACCGGACCAGCCGGUCCAGCUCUGCAGCCACGGCCUCCUCAUGAGGGCUGUAGUAGGGAG